UACAGAGGGGGCAAGCGUUAUUCGGAAUUAUUGGGCGUAAAGGGCGCGUAGGCGGCCUGGCAAGUGGAAGGUGAAAUCCCUCGGCUUAACCGAGGAACUGCCCUCCAAACUGCUUGGCUUGAGACCGGGAGAGGUGAGUGGAAUUCCCAGUGUAGCGGUGAAAUGCGUAGAUAUCGAGAGGAACACCUGCGGCGAAGGCGGGUUGCUGGGCUGAUACUGACGCUGAGGCGCGAAAGCCAGGGGAGCGAACGGG
rnacentral:rRNA from 1 species